UACGUAGGGGGCUAGCGUUGUCCGGAUUUCUUUGGCGUAAAGGGCGUGUAGGCGGCCAGGUAGGUCUGGUGUGAAAACUCGAGGCUUAACCUCGAGAUGUCAUCGGAAACCAUCUGGCUAGAGUCCGGAAGAGGAAAGUGGAAUUCCUGGUGUAGCGGUGAAAUGCGCAGAUAUCAGGAAGAACACCAAUGGCGAAAGCAGCUUUCUGGGACGGUACUGACGCUGAGACGCGAAAGCGUGGGGAGCGAACAGG
rnacentral:rRNA from 1 species